rnacentral:rRNA from 1 species
UACGUAGGUGGCGAGCGUUGUCCGGAAUUAUUGGGCGUAAAGCGCGUGCAGGCGGUCUUUUAAGUCUGAUGUGAAAGCCCACGGCUCAACCGUGUAGGGUCAUUGGAAACUGGAAGACUUGAGUGCAGAAGAGAAGGGCGGAAUUCCACGUGUAGCGGUGAAAUGCGUAGAGAUGUGGAGGAACACCAGUGGCGAAGGCGGCUCUUUGGUCUGUAACUGACGCUGAGGCGCGAAAGCGUGGGGAGCAAACAGG